CUAUAAGAGGGCGCGCGCCAAGCUACCCGCUCUUUUUUUGCCGCGGAGCGUCCCUGGUUGUGUCUGUUCUGUGUCGUUCUCCGCGCUGGGGAGGUAGCUGGGACUGUGCCGGUCGCGUAGCAAGAACGCGGGAGGCUCAGGUCCCGCGCAGGGGCAGGGGCCCGCGGGCCGACGAGGACGAGCCCCGGGUCGCGGGACGGCCCCGGGCGCGGCCCUGAGCGUGGUGUCGGGCGCUGAGGCCAUCCGCCCGCCAUGGGCGUCACGUGGCCGCCGGUCCCGGAGCGCGCGGGGGCCGGCUCGGUGCGCACGGUAUGAAGAAUAAUCGAUAGUGGCUGAAGUUUCCCAUCUUAAAGAGGAUCAUCACAGUUGGAAGAGUGUGGGGCGGGUAGAUGCUAUCAGGACACUAUUUUCAGUAGACAUGAGGAGUCAGGGAGCUUUGUUAGCUGGUUUAGGAUUACUGGGCUCCAAAAGCAAAACAGCAGAAAUGUAAUCUUCAGGUCAGAGAAGGAUCCUGGCAUUGUAGUUGGUUAAGCCCAAACUCAACACCCCUCAACUCUGGCUCAAAGCUUUCCAGGUGGGCAGUUCAUCUCACCUGAACUUUUAGGUUCUGGUGAGCCUCCCCCAUCCCUACUCCCACAUUUGGCUGUCUUCCCACCCCCACCCCUAGCUUCCUCAUACGGGGGAGCUCUCUAUACUAAUAAUUUGCAAGCAGAGAUUUGUUUACUUAUUAGAGACGGAGGGUGAGUGAGUGAGAAUGGUUGCACCAGGGCCUCUAGCCACUGCAAACGAACUCCAGACACAUGCACUACCAUGUGCAUCUGCCUGGGUCGUUACGCUUUGCAGACAUGUGCUGUAAGCGCUAAGCCCUCUCUACAGCCUUAUACUAAUAUUUACUUAGUCUAAUAAGUCCCUUACCCCUGGCUAAAUUUGUUGGUUUGUUGGCAAGGACCCUUAAAAUUCCUGUUUCAGACCGGCUUGGAUUGGCUAAGCUGUUCUGUGCAUACAUUAAUAAAAGACCUGGCUUCCAUGGUA